rnacentral:lncRNA from 1 species
GUGUUCAGUCGGGAGCUGUUUAUUUAGGUGGAAGUGGUGAGUGGUGAAAUUGUUUUCGGUCAUUCGCUACAGUCAAAAUUCGAGUUAUCUGAAAUAGCGAAAGACAAUUACGAUGAAAAAAUAUGUAAAAAAAUAAUAAAAUUAUAUAAUAAGUAAUUCUAAUUAUAUUUAAAUAUAUUUAAUUAGGAACUAGGUUAAUAUAUACUAUUAAUAGCACCAAGUCAUUGAUACUACCAAGUUUUUGCCCAUUGGAUUAAGAGAUGUGCGGUUAGAAUGAUGUGGGCCCCCUAGGGUUGAGUGGGUGGUUGGUUGAAUAGUAUGAUCUAACGGGUGAAAAUGAUCAAAAUAGUAGAUCUAACGGCGGAAAACUUGGUAGCAUCAAGUGCUUCGUACUAUUAAUAGCACAGUAGUCGAACUCUUUAAUUAGGGCACUAACUAUUCUUUAAUUUCAUUUGCAUAUUUAAAAUAUGAUAAAAAUUGAUUAGUUAAGUUUUAUUAUUUCCUUUAUUUAUUUGUACAUCUAAAAUAUGAUAAAAAUAGAUUAAUUAAGUAUUUUUAUUUUUUUUUACUUUAUAAUUUUAUUAUUGUAUUAUUAUAAUUUAUGUAUAAAAAAUAAUUUACUUGUUUUAGAUUAAAUUUUUAAUUGUAUAGAAAUAUAAUUAUAUUAUUUUUAUUUACUAAGUUAUUUAUUAUUUAUACACAAAAUAUAGUUUUAUAUUAUUCACUUUCUGCCAAACAAACAGCGGAACUGAAAGAAUUUUAUUUCCAUAGCUAUGAAACAAAUAGCAAAAAAAAAAAAAGUUUUCAUCGAACUCCAUUUCAACCGAAGUCCAGUUUCGAAGAAAUAAAUAGAUGCUUAUUCGAAAAAUUGUGUUAAAUUGUUACAAAUAAUUUUAAUAUUUUAGAUAAAAAAUAUAAAAAAUAAAAGAAAGAGUAUUUUGUAAAAUCUAAAAAAAUAUUUUUUUAUAAAAUAUUUUUUGAAAAUU